rnacentral:misc_RNA from 1 species
UGUGGGAGCUGGCUUGCCUGCGAUAGCGGAGUGUCAGUCACUGCUGCUUUAACUGAUACAUCGCUAUCGCAGGCAAGCCAGCUCCCACA